GAGGCAGGAGGAUUGCAUGAGUCAGGGAGCUUGAGGCUGCAGUAAGCUAUGAUCAUACCACUGUACUCCAGCCUGAGUGACAGAGUGAGACAUUGUCUC
rnacentral:miRNA from 1 species